rnacentral:rRNA from 1 species
GAUGAACGCUGGCGGCGCGCCUAACACAUGCAAGUCGAACGGACGAUGAAAAGCUUGCUUUUCAAAGUUCGUGGCGGACGGGUGAGUAACGCGUGGGUAACCUGCAUCAUACAGGGGAAUAGCAGCUGGAAAUGGCUGAUAAAACCGCAUAAGCGCACAGUGCAGCAUGGCACAGUGUGAAAAACUCCGGUGGUAUGAGAUGGACCCGCGUCUGAUUAGCUUGUUGGCGGGGUAACGGCCCACCAAGGCGACGAUCAGUAGCCGGCCUGAGAGGGUGAUCGGCCACAUUGGGACUGAGACACGGCCCAAACUCCUACGGGAGGCAGCAGUGGGGAAUAUUGCACAAUGGGGGAAACCCUGAUGCAGCGACGCCGCGUGAAGGAAGAAGUAUCUCGGUAUGUAAACUUCUAUCAGCAGGGAAGAUAAUGACGGUACCUGACUAAGAAGCCCCGGCUAACUACGUGCCAGCCGCCGCGGUAA